rnacentral:rRNA from 1 species
CCCUUAGAUGUCCGGGGCCGCACGCGCGCUACACUGAAGGAAUCAGCGUGGCUUUCUCCCUGACCCGAAAGGGUUGGGAAACCCGUUGAAUCUCCUUCGUGAUAGUGAUUGGGGCUUGAAAUUGUUCCCCAUGAACGAGGAAUUCCCAGUAAGCGCGAGUCAUAAGCUCGCGUUGAUUACGUCCCUGCCCUUUGUACACACCGCCCGUCGCUACUACCGAUUGAACGGUUUAGUGAGGGCCUCGGAUUGGUCUCGGCCCGCUCUUUACCGGGCGGCGCCGUUGGUCGAGAAGACGCUCGAACUUGAUCGUUUAGAGGAAGUAAAAGUCGUAACA